ACUAGCUCCAUUUUGCUUCUGAGCCCCAGCGGUGAUAUCGCAGGUUAAGUGCUACUGCUGAGCUCUGCACAUGGGGAGGAGGAAGGUGACAACCAUGCCUUUUCCAAACUCACUCUCAGGAAGGUAUGAGGGGGGCACCUCCCCACAAAGUUUGUAUGAUCUGCUUCCGGAGAGAAGAGGGAGGAAGGGGAAGGUGAGAGUGACCUUCCUUUUUCUGCUGUUUUCUCAAUGCCAAGGAGCUCUGUUUGGGGCCAAUAUGUUCUGAACCCCAGCACAGGUAAUCCCAAGGUUAAACCCAUUUGUUCAACUCAUAUCCAGCUUUGGGAUUCUCACUGGCAGAUACCCACAGCAGCAAAGAGGCUCUGAGCUGGGCCUCCAACAGAGAGUUCAUGUCCAUGGUUGCUCUUUUCAUCUCUGACCAGUGGAUUUUUCCUCUCUAUUUUCCUAUUUCUCUGUUUCCUGAAGCAAUAAAACACUUUAUUUUCUA